GAUGGUGCCUAGACGAGCUUGUGACGAUCAUGGAACACAGAAAGCUUGUUGGGCAUGUUAUAGUGCCAAAUUUUUAUGUGGAUUCAUCCCAUCACAAAUCAGAAACCGGACAGUAAAGUUUAAAGAGUAUACUUAAUGUCCUUGCUCAAUCCAUCUUGUAUUUCUGCACUUUUUCAUGCAAACCAAGCAAAGUUGAACAAUGAUAAGAUCUCACCAAAGAAAAUUUUACUAAAACCAUUUGAAUUCAAUAGACA
rnacentral:misc_RNA from 1 species